rfam:Capsella rubella cultivar Monte Gargano unplaced genomic scaffold scaffold_5, whole genome shotgun sequence.
AAAAGAAGAACAUAUAAGGAUAGCCAAGGAGACUGCCUGAUAUCUUUUUUAUAAGCAAAAUGGUCAUUACUUGAUAGAACUUAUAGUUUACUUGUCAAACAUGACCACACUAACCAUUUUACUCAAAGAAACAGGCAAGUCAUCCUUGGCUACCAAAUAUGAUUCUUCUAU